rnacentral:rRNA from 1 species
CCUACGGGGGGCAGCAGUGGGGAAUAUUGCGCAAUGGGCGAAAGCCUGACGCAGCGACGCCGCGUGAGGGAUGAAGGUCUUCGGAUCGUAAACCUCUGUCAGCAGGGAAGAACGGUCACUGUGCUAAUCAGCAGUGAAUUGACGGUACCUGCAAAGGAAGCACCGGCUAACUCCGUGCCAGCAGCCGCGGUAAUACGGAGGGUGCGAGCGUUAAUCGGAAUUACUGGGCGUAAAGCGCUGGUAGGCGGGAUGUCAAGGCAAGGGUGAAAUGGCCGGGCGCAAGGUGGGAAGGGCGUGUGAAACUGGCAAACUGGAGUGUGUGAGAGGAUAGUUGAAUUCCAGGUGUAGGAGUGAAAUCCGUAGAUAUCUGGAGGAACAUCAGUGGCGAAGGCGACUAUCUGGCACAUAACUGACGCUGAGGAGCGAAAGCGUGGGUAGCAAACAGGAUUAGAUACCCCAGUAGUC